UGGAAACUNUCUGACUUGAGUGCAGAAGGGGAGAGUGGAAUUCCAUGUGUAGCGGUGAAAUGCGUAGAUAUAUGGAGGAACACCAGUGGCGAAAGCGGCUCUCUGGUCUGUCACUGACGCUGAGGCUCGAAAGCGAGGGUAGCGAACAGGAUUAGAUACCCUGGUAGUCCACGCCGUAAACGAUGAGUGCUAGGUGUUAGGCCCUUUCCGGGGCUUAGUGCCGGAGCUAACGCAAUAAGCACUCCGCCUGGGGAGUACGACCGCAAGGUUGAAACUCAAAGGAAUUGACGGGGGCCCGCACAAGCGGUGGAGCAUGUGGUUUAAUUCGAAGCAACGCGAAGAACCUUACCAGGUCUUGACAUCCCGAUGCUAUUCUUAGAGAUAGGAAGUUACUUCGGUACAUCGGAGACAGGUGGUGCAUGGUUGUCGUCAGCUCGUGUCGUGAGAUGUUGGGUUAAGUCCCGCAACGAGCGCAACCCUUAUUGUUAGUUGCCAUCAUUAAGUUGGGCACUCUAGCGAGACUGCCGGUAAUAAACCGGAGGAAGGUGGGGAUGACGUCAAAUCAUCAUGCCCCUUAUGACCUGGGCUACACACGUGCUACAAUGGUCGGUACAACGAGUUGCGAGCCGGUGACGGCAAGCUAAUCUCUGAAAGCCGAUCUCAGUUCGGAUUGGAGGCUGCAACUCGCCUCCAUGAAGUCGGAAUCGCUAGUAAUCGCGGAUCAGCACGCCGCGGUGAAUACGUUCCCGGGCCUUGUACACACCGCCCGUCACACCACGAGAGUUUGUAACACCCGAAGUCGGUGA
rnacentral:rRNA from 1 species